AAGCGAAAGUAAAAUCCGGAGCAGAACUACUGCGCAGUAACCGUUAUACUUUUCUCUCAGAGACUCACGGAAAAAAAAACGUUCUAUUAUUUUACAACGAGGUUAAACAGAUCAGCAGAAGAACGAAAAGCCAUGAUGACAUGAUGUAGUCCACCUGAAACACAGAGUCUUUUGGAGCUCACAGAAGAAAAGAUGUGGCUGAAGGGUGUCACCAAUCCUGAUAGUCCUGAUGUUUGAUUUCACUGAUGUCUUGUACAUGUUUACCUUCCUGAAAUGAUGGAAGAGGAGAGUGAGAAGAUAAAGACCUGUGAAGUAAAUCUUCAAGGGGAACAACAUGAGAU